UCGCUGACUUGGCUGUGCUCCGUGGGCACUGCUUUUCUGCCAGGUCCUGGAGUUGUCACCCCUUUCGCCUCUCAGCCUCCCGCGGGCGCAAUGGAGGAGAAGGAUCAGAAAGCAUGGGUGCUGCUGGCCUUUCUGUGGCCUCCAGUCGCCUGGCUAUGACUUUUGAUGCUGUUAUUGAUGUGCUUCCUUGGCUUCAGCAGCUAUUUUUGCUAUAAUAAUCCUGCUGCCCUUCAGACUCAGGAUAAACAGAAUAGGCAGGUGAACACCAUGAAAUUCAUGCUGCUAUAUGCCUGGUAUUCUUGGCCCAAUGUAGUUUUGUGUUUCUUUGGUGGCUUUUUAAAAGACCGAGUAUUUGGAAUCUGAUGGGGCACAAUUACUUUUAGCUGUUCUAUUUGCAUUGGACAGGUUGUUUUGUUCUGGGUGGAAUAUUUAAUGUUUUUUGGCUGAUGGAAUUUGAAAGAUUUGUGUUUGGGAUUGGUGGGGAGUGCUUAGCAGUUGCCCAGGAUACAUAUGCUGUGAGCUAGUUUAAAGAAAAAGAAUUAAACCUGUGUCUGGACUCCAACAAUUUAGCAUGGCUAGAAUUGGAAGUACAGUAAACAUGAACUUCAUGAGUUGGCUGUAUUCUAAGAUUGAAGCUUUGUGGGGUUCUGCUGGUCACACAACCCCUGCGGUCACACUUAAGAUUGGGGUAUAAAAUGUAUUCUUUCACUAAUCUGCGCCUUCCUUGGCUCUUGCUUACUUAGAUCUGAGAGCAGAAAGAAUCCUUCAUAAAGAACAAAAAAACAGGGUAAGUUUUUAAAUUAACUGAUGUGAAAGAUUUCUCCUUACCCCUGUGGCCCAUAUUUAUCAUCUGUGUCUGCUAUUGUGUUGCCAUGUUCCCUUUUAUUGGACCUGGGAAAGUUUUCUUUACAGAGAAAUUUGGAUUUUCUUUCCAGGCAGCAAGUGCAAUGAACAGUGUUGUAUAUGUCUUAUCAGCUCCCACGCCUGGUAUUUGGGCUCCCCGUGGAUGACACGGGGAAGAACGGCAUCUGGGUUCUGCGUGUGGUCGCAGCCACUCUUGUGUCCCACAUGAUGCUGGCCUUUAUGAUGUAGAGCCCUUGGGUUGCUAUGUGUCUUCUGGGAAUCUCCUAUUCAUUGCUUGCCUGUGCAUUAUGGCUAAUAGUGGCAUCUGAAGUUCCUGACCAUCAGCUGGGAACUGCAUAUGGCUUCAUGCAGUCCAUUCAGAAACUUGGGUGGGCCAUCAUUUCCAUCACUGCUGGGACGGAUGAUACUGAAUAUUGGGGGAUAUUUGUUUUUAGAAGUUUUCUUCAUUGCCUGUGUUUCUAUGUCACUUUUAUCUGUGGUCUUACUCUAUUUUGUGAAUUAUGCCCAGGGUGAGAACCUAAAUUAUUCCACAAGACAAAGGGAAGAAAUAAAAUUUUCCCAUACUUAGUAAGUUUAAAUGACUGUGUCAUGAGAAUGGGCUUUGCACAUCACUGGUUUGAAAAUCUCCAUUUUUAAAAAUUUAGAGUUUAGUCAUGAGAAAAAAAAAUAAUGUAAUGGCAAAUUAUAUUUAUAUCCAAAUACACCUAUUUCGAAGUGUAUUUGUGAGAACUAUUUUAGCCUGUGUCUUCUGUAUUGUGUGUUGCUGAAGAAUUCUACAAAAGGCCAAUCAACAAUGAAAGGUUUAGAAAACUGCUCUGGAACAUCCAGGUGAACUUCAGAAAAGAACAGUGAGUGAAA